GCGGCCGCUCUGUUUGAUCCUGGCGGAGGUUACUGCUAUCGAGGUUCGACUAAGCCAUGCGAGUCGAAUGUAGCAAUACAUGGCGUACUGCUCAGUAACACGUGGACAACCUACCCUCAGCACGGGGAUAAACCCGGGAAACUGGGUAUAAUACCCGAUAGUUCUGGGAUGCUGGAAUGCCUCCAGGGCGAAAGCCCGGCGGCUGAGGAUGGGUCUGCGGCCUAUCAGGUAGUAGUUGGUGUAAUGUACCCACUAGCCUACGACGGGUACGGGUUGUGAGAGCAAGAGCCCGGAGAUGGAUUCUGAGACACGAAUCCAGGCCCUACGGGGUGCAGCAGGCGCGAAAACUUUACAAUGCUGGCAACAGCGAUAAGGGGACCUCGAGUGCCAGGAUACAAUCUUGGCUGUCGUCGUGUCUAAAUAACACGGCAUAGCAAGGGCCGGGCAAGACCGGUGCCAGCCGCCGCGGUAACACCGGCGGCUCGAGUGGUAACCGCUAUUAUUGGGUCUAAAGGGUCUGUAGCCGGCCGGAUAAGUCUCUUGGGAAAUCCAGCAGCUCAGCUGUUGGGCUUUCAGGAGAUACUGUUUCGGCUCGAGGCUGGGAGAGGUGAGAGGUACUUCAGGGGUAGGGGUGAAAUCUUGUAAUCCUUGAAGGACCACCAGUGGCGAAGGCGUCUCACCAGAACGGUCCUGACGGCAAGGGACGAAAGCUAGGGGCACGAACCGGAUUAGAUACCCGGGUAGUCCUAGCCGUAAACGAUACUCGCUAGGUGUCGGCCACGGUGCGACCGUGGUCGGUGCCGUAGGGAAGCCGUGAAGCGAGCCACCUGGGAAGUACGGCCGCAAGGCUGAAACUUAAAGGAACUGGCGGGGGAGCACUACAACGGGUGGAGCUGCGGUUUAAUUGGAUUCAACGCCGGGAAGCUUACCGGGAUCGACAGCGAUAUGAAGGCCAGGCUGAAGACCUUGCCGGAUUAGCUGAGAGGUGGUGCAUGGCCGUCGUCAGUUCGUACUGCGAAGCAUCCUGUUAAGUCAGGCAACGAGCGAGACCC
rnacentral:rRNA from 1 species